rnacentral:rRNA from 1 species
UACGUAGGGUGCGAGCGUUGUCCGGAAUUACUGGGCGUAAAGAGCUCGUAGGUGGUUUGGCGCGUUGUUCGUGAAAACUCACAACUCAAUUGUGGGCGUGCGGGCGAUACGGGCAGACUGGAGUACUGCAGGGGAGACUGGAAUUCCUGGUGUAGCGGUGAAAUGCGCAGAUAUCAGGAAGAACACCUAUGGCGAAGGCAGCUCUCUGGGACGGUACUGACGCUGAGACGCGAAAGCGUGGGGAGCGAACAGG